AACUCUGAUUCAAAUGUUAGGUAUAAAAACAUAAUGGCUUUGCACUCACUUGGAAAAUCGGGUAGCACUGGUUUGAAUGGACUUUAAGGAAUUCUCAUUGGAUAUUCCGAACAUAUUACAAAAUUCGACAUUCUUGUUAAUUCAAGUUUGAUUUGAUUUAUAUCCAUAUUAAGUUGGACAUCGAAAUGAACUAUACAGCAUUAAAAGACUUACCUCCAUGCACCGUUGUAAAAUGGAACACAUAUGUAGAAAAUCCAGGAGUUUUGUAUGAUCUGAUAGAAUCACCGGAUAUGAUUUGGAAUUUGACUUGUAAAGAAGAUAGAUCAAUUAAAGUAGAUACUGCUGAAGAACUCCAACUUAUCAUAGAAGAUCUCCUUCACAAACCAAUUUUGUUUCAAUGUUUUGUACUACAUCAGACAAAUGAAUUCAGGGGUUAUUACAAUAACAUUAUUUGGGUUGAAGAGUGGUUUGCCGUUCUUAUAAAUCCACAGAAUCCAGCAGUACAAGAGUUUUUGCAUCCAUUAUUGACAGAAGCAACUCAGCAUGCAAACGCUGGAGAAAAAUUCUGCCUUAAGAUCAAAUUUGGAAAAUGUAUUGAAGAGUGGUACUUAAAUUAUAUACCGAACGAAAGUGUGUUAGCCGGAAGGGCAACGGGUUCAAAAGGAAUGGGUUUACAAAUCUACAACGAUUCUUCACCGAUACAGAUCUGCUAUAAUCCGUCCUUUAUCUGUUUAUUAAUACCAUUCUGGUUGCUUUUCGGAGGUUCAUGUUACGUGGUACAUCGAAAAAUGGAAUAUUUCGAUAGAAGAGAACAGUUAAGUGGUAUACCUAUAUCGCUUUUAAAUGAAGAGGAAUAGAACAUGUACUAUACAGUAAUACAGCAUCGAAGGGACAACAGGGCAAUUUUGUAGAUAUUUUGAUUUUAUUCAUAUGUACACUAUAUUUAAUACAUUUUAAAAGGUCAUAGUUAGAAUUUUUUGAUAUUAAUUUCCUCUAAGAUUGCUCUUUAUAGCUCCGGCUGUAUAAGAAACACAUUUUCCUACAGAUAACAAUACCAGAGACUAUAAAAAAUAUGUAAAAACUUGCAAAUAGCUUUAGCUCUUAAUGAUAGCAUUUUCCUUCAAACACAAGCAUUUUCAUUUUGGAUCUUUAGUCAAAUGUUUUAAUACUAUUUUUAUCUAAGGACAUCAUUCCAGAACAAGAAUUGUUUCAGUAAAUGCUACUACAUAUCAAUUUAGAGAGGAGGGGACUGGAUCGUAACCCUAUGCUAACGAAGAUGAUAUAAAACAAAUUCAUUUUUUUGGCUAAAGAUGAAGGACCGUGUGACUUUAAGAAAAUUAAACGUUUACAGCGCAUAGAUCAGGAUCGUAGGGAUGGGUCUAGAUCACACCUGCCGAUAAGAAGGCAAUUCACUAUUUAACUAGACCAAUUUUAACAGUGGUCGAAAGUAGCGCUAAAAUAAUCCAUAGAUGCUAUAAAUAUGUAUGAGACCAAUUCAUUACCAUAAAUAUUGUCCAUACGUCACGCAGUUUGGUAUACGAUGAACGUCUCGUUCUUUUUAUUAUGGACAAUUUAUAUUUCUUUAUAGUUUGGAGAUAUCUGUCAUAUAUUUUUCAUAGCAAUUGCUAAUGCUUUUAUAGAUCAUAUUUUUUAAGAUAGGGUGUCUUAUUAGAGAUUGAUUUCUGGUUACUUAUAUUUUUAUAUCAUGUAAUAACCUCUGUGAACCAACUGUGACUAUUUUGGUCUUUGCCAGCUAAUUGUCGCCUAGCUAUUUGAUUUUCGGUUGAUUCCUCUGGAAUUAGAGAUGUACUCUACACGUAGCUUAGAGUUUUAACAUGUUCUUCAAUUGGUAGCAUUUCAGAUAUCAUUUUUUGAGAUAAGAACAGUAUCUGUUUAUUACUGGUACGAGUAUCCCCAAUCCAUAUCGUAAUGUGUGUUGCUUCGCAUCACGGUGCGGAGCUAUUAGUUUAAGUCGAUAUACACGCCAUCUUGAAAUAAUUACUUAUUACAUAUAGAUUCUGAUUGGUUGCUUUAUGAUGCGGCUGAGAUACAGCAACAGCUAUUGGCUUAAAUGAGAUAAAGAAUUCUAGACUUUUCUCGUCUCAGGAUAAGACAUCAAAUGCCGGAAAAUUAACUAUGUGUAUUUCAGUUCCGAUCAACUGUCAUUAAUUCAUGUUUAUUUUAUUAUGCAUAUAUUGCACACUGAAAUUCAAUAUUGAAAUAUCAAUUAUUAAUACGUGUUUAAUUGCUUUGUUAAUCUGCAAUAUGCACGAUUUGUUUUGCUUAACAAUGUUCCUAUACAAUGUUUACAUAAAUGCAUUAUUUGUAUUUUAUAACUUCUUUUCAACAAGUAAAGUGAACAACAUUUUAAAAGCAUGGGUGUAUAACGCAUCUAAACACUGAACAGCCAGUUUAAAAUUUCAGAAAAGUUCAUCUUAAUAUAUAUACAAAAAUUGAUAUUCCAAGUCUAAGAAAUCCAUUUUAUAUCAAUCAAUAUAUGAAUAUACCACGUUUCCAAUAUUAAAUCAACAACCACAUGCACACAAAUUACCUUAAAAUAUGAUAGAGCGAAGCAGUCCACAGCUUUUUAGAAAGCUAAAACUUGUAUUAUAUGUUUUCAAUGUAUUAAUGCAGGUACUAGAGUUCAAUGCUUUUCUCCAUGAUACCCACCAGGUAUGAGACUGUAAGCUGUUCUAGCUUCUUAAUAUUUUCAUUGAUGGUAUUGAUUAUAAUGUAUUUGUGUUACUUUGAUCUUUGUGUUGAAAGAUGAGUUGCUGUUUGUACAUUUUGAAAUUUUGUAUGUUUUUGUUUUAAUUAACUGGGUAAUAUCGCUUUCUCUGUUUGUUUUUUCAUCUAAUAACUACGCUUUUUUGUGGUUGUAAUUUAUAAAUAAAUGCUCACUGCAACUGUA